UGGCAGUUCUCUUGUGCCACGGUGGCCCAAAUGUCAGUCAACCAGACAUGUCUUCUGAGAGGUAAGUUUUUGAAAAAUACUAGACUUUUCUCAAAUGUAUUUCUUUACAGGAAUAAAAAGAAAGCUAAUUUUGCAUGAGCAUGCAGGAAGUCUGCAGACAGACAUUCUACAUAGUCCCUUGGGGACUCAGUAGAAGUGGAAUCAAGACCAACCCAAGCCCAACAAGGCAGCUCCGCUGGUUAAUGCCUCCCAGAUCUGUCAUCUGUGAUAAAGAGCCUCGCUGUAGCUGAGGAGCUGGCCAAGAACCUUUCCCAGUUAGCCAAGUUCGCUUCUGGAAAGAAAGAUGCUCAGUCACCAUAGACCCAGAAUUAAUGAAAAGUCACAGAAAUAAUAGCUCCAUUCUCUACUUGCUUCUGAACCUCAAAUCAGUGGUUGGCAACAAGUUCCCUGUUCCAAGCAAAGUACUAGGACAUCUUGCUUCUCUUGCCUCUACAGACAGCAAGAUGACUUCAUGGCUUUCUCUUUCACCACAGUCACUGGUGCUCAGUACAAAUGAGACUCACCUUAGAAAGAAAGAAAAGAAAGAAAGAAAGAGAAAAAGAGGGGGAGGGAGAGAGGAGGGAGGGAGAAAGGGAGGAAAGAAGGAAGGGAGGGAGGGAGGGAGGAAGGAAGGAAGGGUGGAUUUGGAAAACACACUUACAGCCUCCUAGAGAGGAAAUAGGCCGUGAAACCUAAUGAAGAAAGAACCAUAGACCAAGGUCACAACAGCAAAAACAGAAAGAAAAAAUAUGAGCACAUUACUUCGUAGAAGUAAUACAUAAAACAUCUGCAGCAGAGGCAUUAUCUUCUACUUAAUGAGCUAAAUGCAUUAUUUAUUAAUCCUGUUAUAUGUGUGUAUCAGAGGUCAGAGGGAAACUUGUAGGAGUCGAUGUUCUUAUUCCUUGUGUCUGGAGAAUUGAACUCAGCCUAUUAGGGUUGGUGGCAAAGGAAUAGUUAUAAACAGACCACCCCCCCCCCAAGCGACCACAUGUAACUCAUUGAUUUUGGCAGGAUGUCUGCAUCAUCUGUAUUGACCUGCUCCCCAGAUUAAUACCGAAGCACUGCAAUUUCUUGAGGAUUAUCCACCUAGGAGGAAAUGAUACGCUGGCCCAUCCAUAGUAGUCAAGC
rnacentral:lncRNA from 1 species